rnacentral:rRNA from 1 species
CCUACGGUGGGCAGCAGUGGGGAAUAUUGGACAAUGGGCGAAAGCCUGAUCCAGCCAUGCCGCGUGUGUGAAGAAGGCCUUCGGGUUGUAAAGCACUUUCAGUGGGGAAGAAAGCCUUGGGGCUAAUACCCUCGAGGAAGGACAUCACCCACAGAAGAAGCACCGGCUAACUCCGUGCCAGCAGCCGCGGUAAUACGGAGGGUGCGAGCGUUAAUCGGAAUUACUGGGCGUAAAGCGCGCGUAGGCGGUCUGAUAAGCCGGUUGUGAAAGCCCCGGGCUCAACCUGGGAACGGCAUCCGGAACUGUCAGGCUAGAGUGCAGGAGAGGAAGGUAGAAUUCCCGGUGUAGCAGUGAAAUGCGUAGAGAUCGGGAGGAAUACCAGUGGCGAAGGCGGCCUUCUGGACUGACACUGACGCUGAGGUGCGAAAGCGUGGGUAGCAAACAGGAUUAGAUACCCCUGUCGUC